AUUGAACGCUGGCGGCAUGCUUUACACAUGCAAGUCGAACGGCAGCGCGGGCUUCGGCCUGGCGGCGAGUGGCGAACGGGUGAGUAAUGCAUCGGAACGUGCCCAGUAGUGGGGGAUAGCCCGGCGAAAGCCGGAUUAAUACCGCAUACGACCUGAGGGUGAAAGCGGGGGACCGAAAGGCCUCGCGCUAUUGGAGCGGCCGAUGUCGGAUUAGCUAGUUGGUGGGGUAAAGGCUUACCAAGGCGACGAUCCGUAGCUGGUCUGAGAGGACGACCAGCCACACUGGGACUGAGACACGGCCCAGACUCCUACGGGAGGCAGCAGUGGGGAAUUUUGGACAAUGGGGGUAACCCUGAUCCAGCCAUGCCGCGUGCGGGAAGAAGGCCUUCGGGUUGUAAAGCGCUUUUGUUCGGGAAGAAAUCCUCUGGGCUAAUACCCCGGGGGGAUGACGGUACCGGAAGAAUAAGCACCGGCUAACUACGUG
rnacentral:rRNA from 1 species